rnacentral:rRNA from 1 species
GUGGGGAAUAUUCCGCAAUGGACGAAAGUCUGACGGAGCGACGCCGCGUGAGUGAAGAAGGCCUUCGGGUCGUAAAGCUCUGUCAUCAGGGACGAACGGCCGGUGGAGUGGAAAGCCACCGGAUUGACGGUACCUGAGAAGGAAGCCACGGCUAACUACGUGCCAGCAGCCGCGGUAAUACGUAGGUGGCAAGCGUUGUCCGGAAUUAUUGGGCGUAAAGCGCGCGCAGGUGGGAUCUUAAGUCCAUUUUUAAAGUUCGGAGCUCAACUCCGUGAUGGGAUGGAAACUGGGAUUCUUGAGUACCGGAGAGGAAAGCGGAAUUCCCCGUGUAGCGGUGAAAUGCGUAGAUAUGGGGAGGAACACCAGUGGCGAAGGCGGCUUUCUGGACGGUGUCUGACACUGAGGCGCGAAAGCCAGGGGAGCGAACGGGAUUAGAAACCCCAGUAGUCC